rnacentral:tRNA from 1 species
GCCGGUGUGGCGGAAUUGGCAGACGCCCGGGACUUAAAAUCCCGUGGGAAUUCAACUCCCGUACCGGUUCGACCCCGGUCACCGGCACCA